UCCAAUGAUGAGUGCUUUGGGG
rnacentral:piRNA from 1 species